rnacentral:rRNA from 1 species
CCUACGGGAGGCAGCAGUGGGGAAUAUUGGACAAUGGGCGCAAGCCUGAUCCAGCCAUACCGCGUGUGUGAAGAAGGCCUUUUGGUUGUAAAGCACUUUAAGCGAGGAGGAGGCUCUUGAGGUUAAUACCCUUGAUGAGUGGACGUUACUCGCAGAAUAAGCACCGGCUAACUCUGUGCCAGCAGCCGCGGUAAUACAGAGGGUGCGAGCGUUAAUCGGAAUUACUGGGCGUAAAGCGCGCGUAGGCGGCUUGUUAAGUCGGAUGUGAAAUCCCCGGGCUCAACCUGGGCACUGCAUUCGAUACUGGCAAGCUAGAGUAUGGGAGAGGAAGGUAGAAUUCCAGGUGUAGCGGUGAAAUGCGUAGAGAUCUGGAGGAAUACCGAUGGCGAAGGCAGCCUUCUGGCCUAAUACUGACGCUGAGGUGCGAAAGCAUGGGGAGCAAACAGGAUUAGAUACCCUGGUAGUCCAUGCCGUAAACGAUGUCAACUAGCCGUUGGGGACCUUGAGUCUUAGUGGCGCAGCUAACGCGAUAAGUUGACCGCCUGGGGAGUACGGUCGCGAAGACUAAAACGUCAAAUGAAUUGACGG